rnacentral:rRNA from 1 species
CCUACGGGAGGCAGCAGUGAGGAAUAUUGGUCAAUGGACGAAAGUCUGAACCAGCCAAGUAGCGUGAAGGAUGACUGCCCUAUGGGUUGUAAACUUCUUUUAUAUGGGAAUAAAAUGUUCCACGUGUGGGAUUUUGUAUGUACCUUAUGAAUAAGGAUCGGCUAACUCCGUGCCAGCAGCCGCGGUAAUACGGAGUAUCCGAGCGUUAUCCGGAUUUAUUGGGUUUAAAGGGAGCGUAGGUGGAUUGUUAAGUCAGUUGUGAAAGUUUGCGGCUCAACCGUAAAAUUGCAGUUGAAACUGGCAGUCUGGAGUACAGUAGAGGUAGGCGGAAUUCGUGGUGUAGCGGUGAAAUGCUUAGAUAUCACGAAGAACUCCGAUUGCGAAGGCAGUUCACUGGACUGCAACUGACACUGAGGCGCGAAAGUGUGGGUAUCAAACAGGAUUAGACACCCGUGUAGUC